AUGUCUACCGCUGAGGCAACCCGUGAGGAGAAUGUGUACAUGGCCAAGCUUGCCGAGCAGGCUGAGCGUUACGAAGAAAUGGUUGAGUUCAUGGAGAAGGUGGCAAAGACCGCUGAUGUUGGUGAGCUCACUGUUGAGGAGCGCAACCUGCUCUCUGUUGCUUACAAGAAUGUGAUUGGUGCCCGGAGGGCUUCCUGGAGGAUCAUCUCCUCCAUUGAGCAGAAGGAGGAGAGCCGUGGGAACGAGGCCUAUGUUGCUUCAAUCAAGGAGUACCGUACCAGGAUUGAAACUGAGCUCAGCAAGAUCUGUGAUGGCAUCCUCAAGCUUCUGGACUCCCACCUUGUCCCCUCUGCCACUGCAGCAGAGUCCAAGGUGUUCUAUCUGAAAAUGAAGGGUGACUACCACAGGUACCUUGCGGAGUUCAAGGCAGGCGCUGAGAGGAAAGAAGCAGCUGAGAACACUCUUGUAGCAUACAAGUCAGCCCAGGACAUCGCGCUUGCUGACUUGCCUACCACCCACCCGAUAAGGCUUGGACUUGCACUCAACUUCUCAGUGUUCUACUAUGAGAUCCUGAACUCUCCAGACCGUGCUUGCAACCUUGCCAAGCAGGCAUUUGAUGAAGCUAUUGCUGAGCUGGACUCCCUCGGCGAGGAAUCCUACAAGGACAGCACCUUGAUCAUGCAACUUCUUCGUGACAACUUGACUCUCUGGACCUCCGAUAACGCAGAGGAGGGUGGUGAUGAGAUCAAGGAAGCCGCCUCAAAGCCUGAGGGAGAGGGGCACUGA
rnacentral:rRNA from 1 species